rnacentral:rRNA from 1 species
CAGCCGCCGCGGGAAUACAGAGGAUUUAAGCGUUAUCCGGAUUUACUGGGCGUAAAGGGCGUGUAGGCGGCCUGGGGCGUCCCAUGUGAAAGGCCACGGCUCAACCGUGGAGGAGCGUGGGAUACGCUCAGGCUAGAGGGUGGGAGAGGGUGGUGGAAUUCCCGGAGUAGCGGUGAAAUGCGCAGAUACCGGGAGGAACGCCGAUGGCGAAGGCAGCCACCUGGUCCACUUCUGACGCUGAGGCGCGAAAGCGUGGGGAGCAAACCGGAUUAGAUACCCCUGUAGUCCCUGUCUCUUAUAC